CUCCAUCUGUUUUAAGGUUUAAGGGUGGUGGCACAGCUAAGACCCAAGAGUCUCUUUCAAGACACUGAAUUUGAGCAGAAACCAUAAGGAUACUCAAAGGACCUGUGACUCUCAGGAAAUGCAUCAAAUGAGAGAGACAGAUGAAACAGUUUCAAGACAAUGGCAGGAAAAAAAUGCUGAAGAUUGAAACAAACCUUGGCUGGAAAUAUUUGAAGGUAUCUAGCCAGUCCACAAUGAAAGCUUCGUUGCACCCAAUGAGUCUUCUGGCAGAAAUGAUGGCGGCUGUAUUCUUUGGUUUCCCUAAACAUCACACCCUGCCUGUUUAUACGAGGCUCUUCAAUUAAGUCUGCACCCAAAGAUUCAAUAAGAGAGGGGAUCCUGCCAGUCCAAAGUGAACUCCUGAUGGACAUUGAAGUACUCCUGCAGAGCUUGUAUCUUCAACACCAUGCGCAUUAGAAACUCCACCGAGUCCUUUCCUUCACCAAGGCAGGACCCAGUGACUCAUUACUGUUGAUAGGUCAGGGGCAGGUAAUAUUUUGUUUCAUGUUUAUUCAUUCCUCCAUGGAUUACCAGCCAUAUAUAUGGACACAUGCUGUAUUCUCAAGA